AGUGGCCUGAUCCCUGUGACAUUUCCAUUGUCCAGGUGCAGUUCCAUAAGACAACAAAGUAGGCAAAAGAUCAGUCCAAACACAGACAAGAUCAAGAAUGUGACACAAACUGGUUGUCACACCUAAACCCACAGAGCUUAAAAAGAAGGCCCAGAGACAGAUGAGCUCACAGCAGCAAACAGGGAUUAGAAAGAAACCAUCCCUACAGAAAGCCUGAGACCGCAGCAGACCUUUACCCCGGCGUAAACAUGGGGACCUUUGUGAAGCAGCUGGCUCUGGUGGCUCUGUGUCUCUGCAUCUCAGCUCAGCUCACUAAAGUGCAGGCUGCACCAACCAAUCCACCGCCAAGCAGCCCAACAAGCAGCCCAACAAUGCCAACCGGAGGCACCAGCACAUGGCCAACCGGAGACAACAGCACAUGGCAACCCAGACCCUCCGGCACAUGGCAACCCGAAGACUGUAACUCCUGGUUCUGCAGUGGAGCGGAGCGGGUGCUGCCUGUGAGCCUGCUGCUGCUCGUGCUGGGAUCCCUCUCUCACGCACUUUACUAGUAACUGAGAUAUGACAAGAGAUUUUCAGCUUUUCUUUGCUUUUUGAUUAUUGAACUUCAGUUACUCCUAAUAAAAAUACGCGGCUGAAAUGCCAGUGGAGGGCAGCAGAGAGAAUUGAAAUAAACUGCUUUUUUUCCCCCUGAAACUUUGCACAAUAAAAUCUAUUCAAGUUUGUUUGUAUGUUUUUGAACAUAUUUUAAAUGCAAUUGGAGCAGACUGGUUAGAGAGGGCGUCUUGCUCCGAGGGAGGAAGGCACCUGGAAUCAAGCAGCAGCAUCGCUUUAAAAAGAAAACAUAAAUAAAAGUGUUAUGGCAAAUUUUGAGGGUGAUUUGCCACAGUGAGCAGCCUGGGCAGCAGCUUAAGCUUGGCGUGUACUAUUGAUUGGAAAAUGAAUGGAAUGCCCCAACUUACAGGGUAAUACAGAUAUGAUAGUUUCAUGUGGUCCAAGCACCUUGGUACUCCCAUACCUUACGUAUUGUGUUGAAGUGUGGGGGAAUACUUACAAGAACACAAUUAAUCCUCUGAUCAUAUUACAGAAAAGAGCAAUACGGAUCAUUAACACGGUUGGUUUUCUAGACCAUACUCAUAAUCUGUUUAUGC
rnacentral:lncRNA from 1 species